rnacentral:rRNA from 1 species
GAUGAACGCUGGCGGCGUGCCUAAUACAUGCAAGUCGAGCGAACGGACGAGAAGCUUGCUUCUCUGAUGUUAGCGGCGGACGGGUGAGUAACACGUGGAUAACCUACCUAUAAGACUGGGAUAACUUCGGGAAACCGGAGCUAAUACCGGAUGAUAUUUUGAACCGCAUGGUUCAAAAGUGAAAGACGGUCUUGCUGUCACUUAUAGAUGGAUCCGCGCUGCAUUAGCUAGUUGGUAAGGUAACGGCUUACCAAGGCAACGAUGCAUAGCCGACCUGAGAGGGUGAUCGGCCACACUGGAACUGAGACACGGUCCAGACUCCUACGGGAGGCAGCAGUAGGGAAUCUUCCGCAAUGGGCGAAGGCCUGACGGAGCAACGCCGCGCGAGUGAUGAAGGUCUUCGGAUCGUAAAACUCUGUUAUUAGGGAAGAACAUAUGUGUAAGUAACUGUGCACAUCUUGACGGUACCUAAUCAGAAAGCCACGGCUAACUACGUG